AGAGUUUGAUCCUGGCUCAGGACGAACGCUGGCGGCGUGCCUAAUACAUGCAAGUCGAACGAAACUUUCUUACACCGAAUGCUUGCAUUCACCGUAAGAAGUUGAGUGGCGGACGGGUGAGUAACACGUGGGUAACCUGCCUAAAAGAAGGGGAUAACACUUGGAAACAGGUGCUAAUACCGUAUAUCUCUAAGGAUCGCAUGAUCCUUAGAUGAAAGAUGGUUCUGCUAUCGCUUUUAGAUGGACCCGCGGCGUAUUAACUAGUUGGUGGGGUAACGGCCUACCAAGGUGAUGAUACGUAGCCGAACUGAGAGGUUGAUCGGCCACAUUGGGACUGAGACACGGCCCAAACUCCUACGGGAGGCAGCAGUAGGGAAUCUUCCACAAUGGACGCAAGUCUGAUGGAGCAACGCCGCGUGAGUGAAGAAGGUCUUCGGAUCGUAAAACUCUGUUGUUAGAGAAGAACACGAGUGAGAGUAACUGUUCAUUCGAUGACGGUAUCUAACCAGCAAGUCACGGCUAAAUACGUGCCAGCAGCCGCGGUAAUACGUAUGGUGCAAGCGUUAUCCGG
rnacentral:rRNA from 1 species